GGGAAAAGAAGUCACGCGUCAGAGUCUCAAGCCCCCAUGCGAUGGAAAGCGAGCCAGAGCGACGAGACCGCGAGCAUUGUUGAUGCCAGGCAAGAGUCGUCUGUCUGGGAUGCGAGCACACGCCACUCUCAGUGAGAUAAGUGUCUGGUUUGGUGAUUGUUGAGCUCACGGCCCACCUUGCUCCUGCUAGGGACGCCACGUAGGCUGGGGUUGGGUUUGUAAGUAAUGGUUCCUGACCAGCUGUGCUUAGGAGAGAGACAAGGUCCCCAUUUUCAGGGUCUGCUCAUUUCUCUGGCCAGGAGCGGUUUCUCUUCCGCAGCAGAAGGUUGCAUCUAGGAGGAUGACUCCAGGUGGUGAGUUGCUUGCUUUCCUCCCAUGUUUUUCUCUCUCUCUCUUCUCUAGUACGUUGGCCAACACACACCCUCUCUCUCUCUGUCUGUCCUUGCCUUUCCUUGUGCUGUCUCCCUUCAGAAGAUAUGGGCAAGCGUGCUAGGUGUGCAUCCCCAGAGGCCAGGUCUCGGGAGCCAUGGAGAAGUAGGAGAGGACGAAAAGCAUGCGGGGCAGUGGGUGCUAAAGUGGAUCUGUGACUGUCUUUACUGGGUCUCUGUUCAUCGUGUGGAGCUGAUGUAGAUGGGACUGGAGAGGGAGGCAGGGAUGAGGGCACGAUUUGAAGCACCAAUAGAGGUUUGUGUAGUGUUGGCUCAUGCUUGGCUUUUGCAGCUGCGCUUCCAGAGGAAUUUUCCAGGAGCCCUAUCUUGAGGAGAAACUGGGAGAAGUGGACAUGAGCAGACUGGUCAUCCUUGUCAGCAGACAUGAACAGUCCUCAGCUUUCUGACUCCCGCAUAACUGGCUGUGAAUAAGCGUACCGAGGGAAAAGAAAUCAAAUGUCAGAGUUUACUCCCCUCGUCGGAUGGAAAGCGAGCAAGAGCAGUGAGCCUGCGAGCAUUGUUGAUGCAAGUCAGGAGCCGUCCAGUUGGCAGUGGAGCAGUCGCUACUGUCAGUGAGAUAAGUGUCUGGUUUGGUGAGGGCUCUGCGUAGGGCCCCCCUGGCUCCAGGUAGGGACGCCCCGUUAACUGGGGCUGGGUUUGUAAGAAAUGGUUCCUGACCAGCUGUGGUUAUGAGAGAGACAAGGUCCCCAUUUUCAGGGACUGCUCAUUUCUCUGGCCAGAUAUGGUGCGUCCUCGGCAGGGGAAGGUUGCAUCCAGGAGGAUGAGUCCAGGUGGUGAGUUGCUUGCCUUCCUCCUAUGUCUUUCUAUCUGUCUCUCUCUCUUCUCUAGUACGUUGGCCAACACACACCCUCUAUCUCUCUGUGUCUGUCCUUGCCUUUCCUUGUUCUGCCUCCCUUCGUAGGACACAGGCAGGUGUGCAUUCCCAGAGGCCAGGUCUCGGGAGCCAUGGAGAAGUUGGAGCGGACAAAAAGCAUGCGGGGCAGUGGGCGCUAAAGUGGAGCUGUGACUGUCUGUGUUUACUCGGUCUCUGUUCAUCCAGUGUGGCUGAUGUAGAUGGGACUGGAGAGGGAGACAGGGAUGAGGGCACGAUUCAACGCACCAGUAGAGCUCUGUGUAGUGAUAGUUCUUGCUUGGCUUUAUUAGUUUGCGGAGGAAUCGUCCAGGAGCCUUAGGUGGACAAGAAUAUGGCAGAAGUGGACCUGAGCAGCCUGACAUCCUUCUAAGGAGACAUGAAUAGUCCUCAUGUUUCUGCCUUCUGCAUCUCUGGUUGAGCAACGGCUGUCCACUGCUCCCUUGGUCUAGAGGUAGCCAUUCCGGCCAACCAGCAAUUCAAGCACCAGUGAAGUCAUGUGAUCAUAAAAAUAGACUUGAUAAUGUUUUAUUUUUUAAUAAUGUAUUAAAUAUGGUAAAUGAGAGUCACAAUAAAACCCUAGGAAGUGUUAAAAGAAGAUAUGAAGGUUUCUUGAAAAGUAAAGAAUUAAAAGGUAUGAAACUCCGUUUCCUGGAGGUAAUGGGAAAGGGUGGCCAGUUCAGGGAAUCGGAACAGCUGAGCAGACCAAUUUGUGAACAUCUCUGUGCAGAUGUCACUUGUAUGUAAACACCCGAAUGAAGACUGUGAGUAUUUAAAGAGCAGGGUGUAUGGGGGGGAGAGGGAAGGUGUCAGAAACUCACUACAUCAUUUCAGAGAGGGAAGAGCAGCCUUGUCUAGACCUUCCCCGCCCCCCCCCCCUUCCUUUUGCCCCUGUUACUGUACAUGGUCAGCUUGCUCCAGCAUCAUCAACAGCAAAGUAACAGAUUCUGCUGGGGAAUGUUUUAUAACACUACAAGAGCUGGGGGGGGGGCUCUUGCUGUGGCCCCGGUAUGAUGUUCCAGGCUGUAAUCCUGACCAGUGUGGGGCUAUGUCACCUGACCUGCAACGGGGGGUGGGGUGGGGUGCCUCACCGUGCUUCUCUGUUAUAGCUCUGACUUGGGUAGCUCACAAACAGCCUGUCAGCGUGAUGCUCCCCCCCUUCCCCCCCCCAAGUGUCUGUACACGGCUACCACUCUGAUCCCAGAGCUUGUCAGCACUCCAGUCACACUUUGGCUUCCAUCAGACCUGGGCUACCACAUGCAGGGUGACCCCAACACACUCCCUGUCCUGAAUUUUACCCCAAAAACGUGUUGUGCACUGUCCAGCCCUCUCCUGGACAGGCCAGAUAGAUUAGGUCUGUUGUACCUCUAGGAGGUCAAUAUACAAAAAUCUGCCACCUUGUGGAUAAUUCCAUUUACAGUUCACAACACUGGAUUAGUUUUGGUUCAAGAAUAAAACAAGUUUAUUUAACUACAUAGAGAGGUUUUAAGUGAACAAAAGUAAUAAGGCAUUAAAGAAGAAAUGGUUACAAGAAAAAAUAAAGAUAAAAUGCUUUCUAACCUUAACAAACUAGGCUUGUGAAGUCCCUUCCCACAGGUUCCAGUAAUAUUGCUGCCCAAACUCUCAGGCCAGCAUCUGCUUCCAGGGUCCAGCAGCUGUUUCUCUGAUCAUCUUAGGUGAAAGGGAGACGGGGAGGGAGAGAGAACUUGGGUGUUUUUGCCCUUCACUUUUAUAGCUCGGUCACCAUUUGAAAAACAUUUUCCUGAGUGUUCACCUUAGGGAAAGUUCUUUCUUGCUGAGAGCAAGGAGAGAUGGAGUUUGGUGGAAGAAGGAGGCUUUGUGCUGUUUCUGUUCAUCUGUGUAUACUGCUUCUUUCUUCCCCCUCUUGUCCUGUGGAAUCUGUUUACAGCUGAAAUGCAAACUGAGGCAAACGCACAUCCCUUUCUUUAGGACAGGUGUGCUUGACCAGUUCCAUCUAAUCAGGCUAUGUGAAUUGGAACUUGUGCUUUUAAUACCCUAUAGGUGGAAUUUCAUAACUUUACACAGACUGUUGCUACAGCCAUUUCACCAAAAUAGUAUUGAUCACUGAGUUUCAAAUGCUACCUCACAAGGCAUAUUUUGUCCAAAGAUUGUUACAAUACUGUGUAGGGUGUGAAUACAGGGGUGCAUUUGGUCACAGUGGGCUGGGAAUUAUCCAUUUGUGGAGGGCUCUCUAACAUUACCCUUUCCUGGAAAUUGCCAGACAAUGAAGGGAAGUGGAGAAUUCUUGCUCCAAUCCCGAAUUGCUGGAAAUCCCAGGCUCGCUGGAGCUGGUUUGAUUUCCCAGUGGAGUCAGUUUUUCUCCCUGGUGGAUUAUGAUUUUCCCCAUUGUAGUUAGUUGCAAUUUAUCUACUUCCCCACAGCCCCUCACUAGGUUCUCUGGGCGUCAUCUCAUUGCUUCUCAUUUAAGCUGCUGCCCUUUGGGUCUGUAUGUUCUGGGGUAUUUGCUGUCAUGAGUGACUGCGCCGCCUUGGGCAGGUGCUGGGCAAGGUGGGGGUUGUAAAUUUCUGAUGAACGCUUUGUGUUAAAUAAAAUUACCCUGUGACAAACAGUGGCAUUGGGCUCUUUUCUUAAAGUGUGAAAUAGCAACCACGAGUCACUGCCCAAAUGCGGGGGAGGGGGAUGGAUGGACACACAUGGCACUGUCCCACCUGCGACACCCCAGCACCUUGCGUCCCCAAAUCCUUGUACCUGCCAUCACUCAUUAACAGUGCCUCCCUCCACUCCUUACAGCAAUCCAAGCUGCAGAAAGUUGACGUGCUGGAGAUCACGGUGUAGCACAUGGAGAGCCUGCAACAGAGCAAGACCCUGGCCACCACCAAGCAGAGCCUGGCCACAGAGCAGUGCUACAGCAGGUGCAUGGACCAGCUGCACACUGUGCUCCUCAGCUGCUCAGGGACGGACAAGCACGUGGGUUCCUGGCUGCUGAACAACCUGCCCCAGAUCUCACCCUCUCCUGCACCCAGAGUAGCCUGCUCAUCAUAGAGACCAAGACCAGCCCCCAGCUGCCCUGGCAGUCACUGACCCGAAGGUGGAGAGCCUGAUGUCUGGUGAGGGGAAACAGCCCAGUAUCUCCUCUGUAGUGUCAGGACGUACUAUUACAAAUUGCUCCCUGCCCCAAUUUCCUACCAGUUGCAGUUCCUGACAUCUACAUAGCACGUUUUUGCCAGCCCUGGGUCUAGGAGUAGCGAUUUGUGGCAGAUGGGGUAUGCAUUGUCACAGUGUGCUACUUCUGGGAAAUCUGUUUGAAAUUGGGACACAUUAAAUGAGUUUUCUAACAAUACAUUUUUCUAAGUGAGAAAACAUUUGUUUUAUUGAGAUCCAAAUUUAAUAUUGAGAUUUCAUGGGGUAGGAAACUGUGACAGGGCAGACAGCAUCCAUCACAAAUUGCUACUUUUGGAGCAGGGCUGAGACAACCAAGGAAAUCCGACAGCAUUCAAGUGAUAUGAUCACAAAUAAUAGCCUGACAUUAAAAAACAAAAAAAACCAUGAGUAUUAAAACCUGUAAUUUACUAUUUCACAAUAAAAAUAUAGGUGGUGGUAUAAUAAUGAAACUAAUGUUUU